GCGAGGUAGGCACUGCAGCAGGACCUGCUCAGGGUCCCGGCGCCUCUGCAGUGCAAUGAGGUUCACGCGGUGCAGCCGCAGCCGUUCCCAGGCCUUCCGUGCCAGGCCCCCUACACAGGUUUUGGUGGUAUACCAGAGCCAGUACCUGGAAGUGCCGGAGUUAAGGUGUGGCCAUACCCAUGAAGGGCAGAAGGGGUGCUGAGGAAGCUAGGGGACACUGACCAGGAGAAGUGUGUGACCUGGAAACGUGCAUACAGGAGAGCUCUCAGCUCUAGACCAGCCAUAUGCACUACCUGGACAGAGAACCAUGAGUGUCUUCCUGUAUGCUGAGGCACCUCCUGCCACCCUUGGCACAGGCCUGACAACUAUACCUGCAUGGAGACUUGGCGAGGUUCUUCUGUAGCCCCAGAGGGAAAGGUGACUUUGACCCCAGGAUGACCUGAGGAGCACAGAAGUGCUCCCUCUGGUGGCAACAGGCAAGUGUUGGAUACUGGGCGUAAAACGACAAGAAACCAGGAGAAGUGGGGCACCUGGCAUCGAGCCCAGAGCCUCUGGAACACAUGGGAGGAAAGGGUCAGGGCAGAGACAAUGGGCAAGGGUGGGUGGUGUCGGGGCAGGCUGCUCCUGUCCCCUAACUCCCAAGGGCCUAGGCAGCUGUCACCUUGGGUGCCUCUUCCUCCAGGUGGGUCUCUAGGUCAGUCCAGCUGUCGUCACUCCGCGUCCUUACAACUACCUCACGGCAGCGUUGGACUUGUGGGGGGACGAACAGCAGCCAUAAGCUCACAUCCUGUCAGGCAAUGGUGGUGUGUGAGAGAAGGCCAGCCUACACUUGCCCCCUACCCAUCCUUGACACACCUGCUGGAAAGCCACCCCAUGGGGCUGCAACUCCAGAACACCACUUAGCAAGAAGUCGUGAGGUCCCAGGGAGACCAGAGCUGGUGAACUGGAAAUGAACAAGAGGACCAUCAAUCUACAGCCCGUGCCUCUAUGCAACGGGCAAGCUUCCUGUGGCCUCCCAGCUUCCAUUCUUCCUAGUACCUGUUUCUUUUUCACUGUUUCCACAAAGCUGCCAGAAGGAUCCUUACAAAAGCCAGUCCCAUUGUACCACACGAGAACUUCUGGAGGCAUCACAACCCCUGACUUCAAACUCUCCUACAGAGCUACAGUACUGAAAACAGCCUGGUAUUGGCACAAGAACAGACAGGAGGACCAAUGG